rnacentral:rRNA from 1 species
UACGGGGGGGGCAAGCGUUGUUCGGAAUUACUGGGCGUAAAGGGCUCGUAGGUGGCCAACUAAGUCAGACGUGAAAUCCCUCGGCUUAACCGGGGAACUGCGUCUGAUACUGGAUGGCUCGAGUGUGGGAGAGGGAUGCGGAAUUCCAGGUGUAGCGGUGAAAUGCGUAGAUAUCUGGAGGAACACCGGUGGCGAAGGCGGCAUCCUGGACCAAUUCUGACACUGAGGAGCGAAAGCCAGGGAGCAAACGGG